UACGGGGGGGGCAAGCGUUGUUCGGAAUUACUGGGCGUAAAGGGCGCGUAGGCGGCCUUCUAAGUCAGACGUGAAAUCCCCCGGCUUAACCUGGGAACUGCGUCUGAUACUGGGAGGCUUGAGUGUGGGAGAGGGAUGUAGAAUUCCAGGUGUAGCGGUGAAAUGCGUAGAUAUCUGGAGGAACACCGGUGGCGAAGGCGGCUUCCUGGACCGACACUGACGCUGAGGCGCGAAAGCUAGGGGAGCAAACGGG
rnacentral:rRNA from 1 species